AUUGAACGCUGGCGGCAGGCCUAACACAUGCAAGUCGAGCGGAUGAGGGAAGCUUGCUUCCUGAUUUAGCGGCGGACGGGUGAGUAAUGCCUAGGAAUCUGCCUGUUAGUGGGGGAUAACGUUCCGAAAGGAACGCUAAUACCGCAUACGUCCUACGGGAGAAAGUGGGGGAUCUUCGGACCUCACGCUAACAGAUGAGCCUAGGUCGGAUUAGCUAGUAGGUGAGGUAAUGGCUCACCUAGGCUAAGAUCCGUAACUGGUCUGAGAGGAUGAUCAGUCACACUGGAACUGAGACACGGUCCAGACUCCUACGGGAGGCAGCAGUGGGGAAUAUUGGACAAUGGGCGCAAGCCUGAUCCAGCCAUGCCGCGUGUGUGAAGAAGGCCUUCGGGUUGUAAAGCACUUUCAGUAAGGAGGAAGCGUUGAGUGUUAAUAGUACUCAGCGUUGACGUUACUUACAGAAGAAGCACCGGCUAACUCUGUGCCAGCCGCCGCGGUAA
rnacentral:rRNA from 1 species